GGGCAAAAUUUAAAAAAAAAAUAAAACAGAAAACAUUGGCCUAAUCAAACAGCAAUGCAGAGAUGGGGAACUAACUACGCAAAUAACCCCUUAAAGGGGAGAAUGAGCAAAUCCAACAUAUGGAUUAACGCGCAGACUACUUUUCACCCCCCAAAGUACUGUUUCAAAAUUAAUUGACCAUUAUUUUGUUUUUUUCUACAGCAUUAAAACCUUUUUCCUUAGAAAACCAAAAGCUUUCUCUUUUACUCUAAAAAACCCUGUAGGUUUUAGCCUCCACAGCACCACCAUUAAAUCUGGUAGUCGGUAAUACGUGAAGAGAGUCUCCGACUCUGCUGAGGCCAUACUCAGAGACUUAGUCGCCUCUCAACAUCAGGAGAACGAAGGGAAAAGACCUAAACCGAGGCUCCAAUCGAUGAACCAAAGGUUCAUUUGAGCACGUCUCUGAUGUGGCCUAGUAGAGGAGCGCACGACACGGAGGGACGCUCGACGUGCGGUGCUUGGGAACCUCCAUGGUUGCGGCGGCUGAGGGUGUUAGCUGCUAGAGUUUUCAUUUUUCUUUAAUUUUGCUAGGCUGUUAAGGUUGUUUUGGGUUUAAGUCUGAUGGGUUUAGGGUUUGAGUAAUGGUUUGUAUUGGGCUUAGAGAUUGGGUUAAGUUUGUUUUGCUAAUUGUUUUGGGUUUUAAAUGUAUUGGGCCCUGGGCAUAAAUUGGGCUUAACAUUUAUAGAAUGAAAGAUGGUUCAAUAUUCA